rnacentral:rRNA from 1 species
UACAGAGGUCUCAAGCGUUGUUCGGAUUCAUUGGGCGUCAAGGGUGCGUAGGUGGCGCCAUAAGUCGGGUGUGAAAUCUCGGGGCUUAACUCCGAAACUGCAUUCGAUACUGUGGUGCUUGAGGACUGGAGAGGAGACUGGAAUUCAUGGUGUAGCAGUGAAAUGCGUAGAGAUCAUGAGGAAGACCAGUGGCGAAGGCGGGUCUCUGGACAGUUCCUGACACUGAGGCACGAAGGCCAGGGGAGCAAACGGG